CAAAUCUNCCCUCCGUCCCAAAAUUCUUGUCUUAGAUUUGUCUAGAUACAGAUGUAUCAAGUCACAUUUUAGUAUUAGAUACAUCCGUAUCUAGACAAAUCUAAGACAAGAAAUUUGGGACAGAGGGAGUAGUUG
rnacentral:pre_miRNA from 1 species